UUACUGGGCGUAAAGCGCGCGUAGGCGGACCACCAAGUUGGAUGUGAAAUCCCGGGGCUCAACUCCGGAACUGCAUUCAAAACUGUUGGUCUAGAGGCCAGGAGAGGUCAGUGGAAUACCGAGUGUAGAGGUGAAAUUCGUAGAUAUUCGGUGGAACACCAGUGGCGAAGGCGACUGACUGGACUGGUACUGACGCUGAGGUGCGAAAGUGUGGGGAGCAAACAGGAUUAGAUACCCUGGUAGUCCACACCGUAAACGAUGAAUGCUAGUUGUCUGCAUGCAUGCAUGUAGGUGACGCAGCUAACGCAUUAAGCAUUCCGCCUGGGGAGUACGGCCGCAAGGUUAAAACUCAAAGAAAUUGACGGGGGCCCGCACAAGCGGUGGAGCAUGUGGUUUAAUUCGAAGCAACGCGCAGAACCUUACCCACGUUUGACAUGCCCUGUUUGGUUAGUGGAGACACUCUCCUUGGUUCGUCCGCAGGUGCACAGGUGCUGCAUGGCUGUCGUCAGCUCGUGUCGUGAGAUSUUGGGUUAAGUCCCGCAACGAGCGCAACCCUCACCCUUAGUUGCCAUCAGGUUUGGCUGGGCACUCUAAGGGAACUGCCGGUGGCAAGCCGGAGGAAGGUGGGGAUGACGUCAAGUCCUCAUGGCCCUUACGCGUGGGGCUACACACGUGCUACAAUGGUAGUGACAAUGGGAUAAUCCCAAAAAGCUAUCUCAGUUCGGAUUGUCGUCUGCAACUCGACGGCAUGAAGUUGGAAUCGCUAGUAAUCGUGGAUCAGCAUGCCACGGUGAAUACGUUCCCGGGCCUUGUACACACCGCCCGUCACAUCAUGGGAGUUGGUUCUACCCGAAGACCGUGCGCUAACUUCGGAGGCAGCGGGCCACGGUAGGAUCAGUGACAUGAGGAUGAAGUCGUA
rnacentral:rRNA from 1 species